AAAAAAAAAAAAAAAAAACCAACCACAGAGCUGUCAAAAUGGAAAAUACCAUCAGAUCUGCUUUAUUAUACUGAAAAUGAUGGGAAACACAGGUAAAAUCAGGCUAUUAGACACCACAAAAAAAACUCCUACUAGAAUUCUUGUUGAAAUUCCAAACAGGUGAUAAUGUCAAUAACUUCUACAAAGAGUGGUCCAACGUCAUGCCAAGCAUGAUAUUUUCAGAAGUUCAAAUUCUCUUUCGGAUCUUCAAAUCUCCCAAAACAAACAGUUAAAAAGCUCUAAAAUCACAAAAGCCAAGUCAAACCCAAACAUAAAACUGAUAUAUGAAACAACUAAAAGCAACCAGAUCUGUAGCAUUUGUGCCAAACAUACUAAAAUAAUAGCUCGUUAAAGCAAGAAACACUAGAGAAGCAUUCUGAGAAGCAACAAAAUCAUUUUCAAUCCACAUAAGCAAGAAUCCAUGAACAAAACAAGGAAAUAGCAUAAAAAUCCCUGGAGAAGAGUAACCAAAGGUACCUUGGAC
rnacentral:misc_RNA from 1 species